rnacentral:lncRNA from 1 species
UUGCAGCAAAACCCACCGGGUUCUUCCCCCGACCCGGGUCGGAGGGACCGCCGUUGCCGCACAAAACCGCCAGACCGGGAAGCUGAAGCUACAAGGAGGAUGCAUCACCAGUUAUAUGAAGAAGCCGCUCUGAUUUGGAGCCAAAACUGAAGACCGUAGCUGCCCUCUACAAACUCUUAUUACCCAGUGGUUACCGGAUCUUAUCUCUUGAAUCUAAAACUUGUAAAGGUUUACUCUGUGCUUCGGAGAUCUCCCUGAUACUCAAAUUAGAGAGCUCUUCGAUUCUUUGUCCAUUCACCUCGCAGAAGACUGACUCCUCACCUUAAGC